rnacentral:rRNA from 1 species
ACGGGGUGCAGCAGGCGCGAAAACUCCGCAAUGUUCGAAAGAACGACGGGGGAACUCCAAGUGCGCUUGCGCAAGCAAGUGCUUUUUAGUAGUGUAAAUAGCUGUUAGAAUAAGAGCUGGGUAAGACCGGUGCCAGCCGCCGCGGUAACACCGGCAGCUCAAGUGGUGACCGCUUUUAUUGGGCCUAAAGCGUUCGUAGCCGGUUCAGUAAGUCUUUGAGUAAAUCUUCUCGCUUAACGAAAAGAACUCCGAAGAUACUGCUGGACUUGGGGCCGAGAGAGGUUGGAGGUACUCCUGGGGUAGGGGUGAAAUCCUAUAAUCCUGGGGGGACCGCCAGUGGCGAAGGCGUCCAACCAGAGCGGACCCGACGGUGAGGGACGAAAGCCAGGGGCGCGAACGGGAUUAGAUACCCCGGUAGUCCUGGCUGUAAACGCUGCAUGCUAGGUGUUGCAUGCUCUACGGGGGCAUGCAGUGCCGAAGAGAAGUUGAUAAGCGUGCCGCCUGGGAAGUAUAUCGCAAGU